GGGGAAUUUUGGACAAUGGGCGAAAGCCUGAUCCAGCCAUUCCGCGUGCAGGAUGAAGGCCCUCGGGUUGUAAACUGCUUUUGUACGGAACGAAAAGGCUCCGGUUAAUACCUGGGGCUCAUGACGGUACCGUAAGAAUAAGCACCGGCUAACUACGUGCCAGCAGCCGCGGUAAUACGUAGGGUGCAAGCGUUAAUCGGAAUUACUGGGCGUAAAGCGUGCGCAGGCGGUGAUGUAAGACAGUUGUGAAAUCCCCGGGCUCAACCUGGGAACUGCAUCUGUGACUGCAUCGCUGGAGUGCGGCAGAGGGGGAUGGAAUUCCGCGUGUAGCAGUGAAAUGCGUAGAUAUGCGGAGGAACACCGAUGGCGAAGGCAAUCCCCUGGGCCUGCACUGACGCUCAUGCACGAAAGCGUGGGGAGCAAAC
rnacentral:rRNA from 1 species